GAGCUAAUACAUGCUGUCAAACCCGACUUUAUGGAAGGGUUGUAUUUAUUAGAUAUUAAGCCAAUAUUCCUUCUGGUCUAUUGUGGUGAAUCAUAGUAACUGAUCGAAUCCCUUUUUGGGAUAAAUCAUUCAAGUUUCUGCCCUAUCAGCUUUCGAUGGUAGUGUAUUGGACUACCAUGGCAGUCACGGGUAACGGAGAAUUAGGGUUCGGUUCCGGAGAGGGAGCCUGAGAAACGGCUACCACAUCUAAGGAAGGCAGCAGGCGCGUAAAUUACCCAAUCCUGAUUCAGGGAGGUAGUGACAAGAAAUAGCAAACUGGAUGAUUUUUCAUCACAGUAUUGCAAUGAGAACAACGUAAAUGCUUUAUCGAUUAACAAUUGGAGGGCAAGUCUGGUGCCAGCAGCCGCGGUAAUUCCAGCUCCAAUAGCGUAUAUUAAAGUUGUUGCAGUUAAAAAGCUCGUAGUUGAACUUCUGUACGUUCCCAGUUCUGGCUUUGGUCAAGCUGUGGAGCGUGCAUCCGCUUGCAAACUUAGACCGGCCUUCACUGGUCGACUAAGGGAGUAAGCCCUUUACUUUGAAAAAAUUAGAGUGUUUCUAGCAGGCUUUGGCUCGAAUACAUUAGCAUGGAAUAAUGGAAUAGGACUUUUGUCCAUUUGGUUGGUUAUUGGACAUUAGUAAUGAUUAAAAGGGACAGUUGGGGGCAUUAGUACUUAAUAGUCAGAGGUGAAAUUCUUGGAUUUAUUAAAGACUAACUUAUGCGAAAG
rnacentral:rRNA from 1 species